rnacentral:rRNA from 1 species
CUGGGCUUGACAUGCGUCGCUAAUCCGCUGAAAGGCGGUGAGUCUUCGGACACUUCGCACAGGUGCUGCAUGGCCGUCGUCAGCUCGUGUCGUGAGAUGUUGGGUUAAGUCCCGCAACGAGCGCAACCCCUGUGGACAGUUGCCAGCAAUUCGGUUGGGGACUCUGUUCAGACUGCCCAGAUCAACUGGGAGGAAGGUGGGGACGACGUCAGGUCAGUAUGGCCCUUACGCCCAGGGCUGCACACGUACUACAAUGCCCAGUACAAUUGGAACCGAUGCCGCGAGGUGGAGGAAAUCCGUAAAACUGGGCCCAGUUCGGAUUGGAGGCUGCAACUCGCCUCCAUGAAGUUGGAAUCGCUAGUAAUGGCACAUCAGCUACGGUGCCGUGAAUACGUUCCC